AAUCGUCAUCCAAUCAGAGGCGAUCUUCCGUUGUUUGUUUUUAUCAAUUUUGUAGGUUAGGUUUGCAUUUGAAUUUUGCAUUUUUCUCAAGUUCUUGAGCGUCUCUCCAUGUCUUUCCCAGACAGAAAUAACUGAUUUUUUUGAUCCGCGGACACUGUUUUUUCUUCCUACCCUCUCACAUCGGUAGGCGCUGUAACACUUAUCAAAUUUAGCACUCAUGAUUUUUAAGACCACUCAAUUCCUCAUCUGGUUGUGUUUUGCCGUGUUGAAAUCAAUUUGCCUCCAAAUGAAAUUACCUUGCACUGCUUCAGCAACCAUGGACAGCAGUUUUCAGCUACCUUUUGAUAUCUCUGAUAAGUUAUUUGACGGUCUUACAAAUGAUGUGGUCAUUGUAUCUGUCAUUGGAAAAUCCGCUCUUGGCUCUUCAACCAAGGUUAACUCUCUCUAUGACACUCUUGGCUCUCGCAUCUUCACAAAAAUUGAUUUCUCUAAUUUUCAAUCUGACAAAGAUAUAAUGUGUUGCAUAGACGGAUUCUAUGAUUCUGAACUGCAGACUAUUUUUUGCAACUUUGUGGAAGCCUAGAUGCUGACUAUUUGAUUUCCAGCUACCAAAAAUUAGGAACUGACUUGGAAGAGAAGGUAUAUUUCAAGUUUUAUUUAUGCACUUUAAAGUUUAAAAUUGCUGUCGGAAGCAAAAGCAUAGUUUGGUUUUGUUUGGUACCCAGUGA
rnacentral:lncRNA from 1 species